AUUGAACGCUGGCGGCAUGCCUUACACAUGCAAGUCGAACGGCAGCGCGGGAGCAAUCCUGGCGGCGAGUGGCGAACGGGUGAGUAAUACAUCGGAACGUGCCCAAUCGUGGGGGAUAACGCAGCGAAAGCUGUGCUAAUACCGCAUACGAUCUACGGAUGAAAGCAGGGGAUCGCAAGACCUUGCGCGAAUGGAGCGGCCGAUGGCAGAUUAGGUAGUUGGUGAGGUAAAGGCUCACCAAGCCUUCGAUCUGUAGCUGGUCUGAGAGGACGACCAGCCACACUGGGACUGAGACACGGCCUAGACUCCUACGGGAGGCAGCAGUGGGGAAUUUUGGACAAUGGGCGAAAGCCUGAUCCAGCCAUGCCGCGUGCAGGAUGAAGGCCUUCGGGUUGUAAACUGCUUUUGUACGGAACGAAACGGUCUUUUCUAAUAAAGAAGGCUAAUGACGGUACCGUAAGAAUAAGCACCGGCUAACUACGUG
rnacentral:rRNA from 1 species